UUUUUUUUUUUUUUUUUCUCUCUGACUCGUUUAUACUUCAUCAUGGUUCAAGUAUCUUAGGUAGUCUUCUGUAAUGUGUAGGUCACAUAUGUACCACCUCUUGUUCUUUAGCUGCCUUCAUCCUUCUCAGUUACACUCCUUAGUCCUUGCACAUGUGGUAUUUACAAGAGAAUACAUAGGAGCAGGCCAAAGAAAUGAAGGAAUCACUCAGAUAACCCCUGAAAAGAUCCCAAGGGUCUAUGUAUUUCAGGGUCCCCAACUGCAGAAUAGAAGUGACAGUAAUUUUCCUGCCUACCUCACAGGGCUGUUGUGAGGGCAAAGCAGGCACUGUUUUCACAAGUACAAAGUACUCUGCUACCUGAAGAUUUGCACACAUCUAAAUUACCAAUGCUAUUAGCUUCAACAUAUAGACAUACAUACACUUCACUAGACGAUGAUCUUCGGAUGAGAAAAUUUUGCGAAACCUUCAAGAAUGAAGCUACUGUUAACAUAAAUAUGUAAUAUAAAAUACUAAUAAUUUUAAUAUUUUCCAAAAUGUCAUCUUCUUUAUAAUUUCUUGGGGCUUUUUAAACUUUUAAUUAAGGAAUAUAUCAUUCCCGUGUUCUGGGGGCUUUAUGUAAAAAAUAAAUAGAACAUUAAGGUACUACACUUUGAAAUUACCUCGUCUAUGUAUUCCUGGUAAAUUGGAAUUUUUAAACACAUAAGGUAUAAACUAUUUGAAGGAAUAUAUGUUUUUCAUUUAAUCUUUAAAUUUAUUAUAAUAUAAUGGCCCCAAACGUUCUAUGAUGCUUUCUGAUUCCACCCUUGUGCAAAUUUUGGGACUGUGACUCUGUUUGAAACUGCCUUGUGCUGCUGUCAUAUUCCAGUUUUGAGGUUUGGCAACUGAGUUUAAUUUGAAUAACUCUCAGUUUGUGUUCUAAGCCUGGGGAAUAAAGUGGAAUCCAAGCUUUUUACAAC
rnacentral:lncRNA from 1 species